AGGGAAUCUUCCACAAUGGACGAAAGUCUGAUGGAGCAACGCCGCGUGAGCGAUGAAGGCCUUCGGGUCGUAAAGCUCUGUUGUUAGGGAAGAACAAGUGCGAGAGUAACUGCUCGCACCUUGACGGUACCUAACCAGAAAGCCACGGCUAACUACGUGCCAGCAGCCGCGGUAAUACGUAGGUGGCAAGCGUUGUCCGGAAUUAUUGGGCGUAAAGCGCGCGCAGGCGGUUUCUUAAGUCUGAUGUGAAAGCCCACGGCUCAACCGUGGAGGGUCAUUGGAAACUGGGAGACUUGAGUGCAGAAGAGGAGAGUGGAAUUCCACGUGUAGCGGUGAAAUGCGUAGAGAUGUGGAGGAACACCAGUGGCGAAGGCGACUCUCUGGUCUGUAACUGACGCUGAGGCGCGAAAGCGUGGGGAGCAAAC
rnacentral:rRNA from 1 species